UGGAGGUCCUAGCUGGCAUCCCUAGUACGGCGAGUGAGCGGGAAGAGCUCAAAUUUGAAAUCUGGUAGCCUUCGGCUGCCCGAGUUGUAAUCUAGAGAAGUGUUUUCCGUGCCGGCCCAUGUACAAGUCCCUUGGAACAGGGCGUCAUAGAGGGUGAGAAUCCCGUCCUUGACAUGGACCCCCGGUGCUUUGUGAUACACUUUCAACGAGUCGAGUUGUUUGGGAAUGCAGCUCAAAAUGGGUGGUGAAUUCCAUCUAAAGCUAAAUAUUGGCGAGAGACCGAUAGCGAACAAGUACCGUGAGGGAAAGAUGAAAAGCACUUUGGAAAGAGAGUUAAACAGUACGUGAAAUUGUUGAAAGGGAAACGAUUGAAGUCAGUCAUGCUCUUUGGAUUCAGCCGUUCUGCGGUGUAUUUCCAUUGAGUGGGGUCAACAUCAGUUUUGACCGCUGGAUAAAGGCACUAGGAAGGUAGCACUCUCGGGUGAACUUAUAGCCUAGCGUCAUAUACAGUGGUUGGGACUGAGGAACGCAGCAUGCCUUUAUGGCCGGGAUUCGUCCACGUACAUGCUUAGGAUGUUGACAUAAUGGCUUUAAACGACCCGUCUUGAAA
rnacentral:rRNA from 1 species